UACGGGGGGGGCAAGCGUUGUUCGGAAUUACUGGGCGUAAAGGGCUCGUAGGCGGCCAACUAAGUCAGACGUGAAAUCCCUCGGCUUAACCGGGGAACUGCGUCUGAUACUGGAUGGCUAGAGGUUGGGAGAGGGAUGCGGAAUUCCAGGUGUAGCGGUGAAAUGCGUAGAUAUCUGGAGGAACACCGGUGGCGAAGGCGGCAUCCUGGACCAAUUCUGACGCUGGGGAGCGAAAGCCAGGGGAGCAAACGGG
rnacentral:rRNA from 1 species